CACGUCAAGGGAACAUACACUAGCAAUAAAAUCCUACAAGUAGUUCUAUGUGGCUUCUUCAAAUACCAUUUUCAGAAAAUUGAAACACUCUAGAGAGGAAAAAAUUGGGGAAAAAAUGAAUAGCUCCGAUUCAUUACUUUUGGAAACAAAUGAGCAGGAAUAUGCCAGCAUGGCUAGGGCCAUUUUUGAAAAAGACAUUUUUUGGGACAUGUUUGGUACAUGAUGAACUUCA